rnacentral:rRNA from 1 species
UACGGAGGGUGCAAGCGUUAUCCGGAUUCACUGGGUUUAAAGCGUGCGCAGGCGGUUCGCUAAGACCGAUGUGAAAUCCCCGGGCUUAACCUGGGAACUGCAUUGGUGACUGGCGAGCUAGAGUGUGGCAGAGGGGGGUAGAAUUCCACGUGUAGCAGUGAAAUGCGUAGAGAUGUGGAGGAAUACCGAUGGCGAAGGCAGCCCCCUGGGCUAACACUGACGCUCAUGCACGAAAGCGUGGGGAGCAAACAGG